CAUAGUCUUUGAAGAGGCACUCCUCAGUGGGGGAACAGUCAAACCCGAACAUUCAAAGAUUCAAGAGAAAGAUGAAGUCGGCGGUUCUAGAACGGCAAGCUGAAGGUCAUUCCUGGGGGCUCCUUGGUAAAGCAGCCAUGACAUCUGCAGGAUGCUGCAGAGGAGCCACGACAGGAACAGUAUACCACAGAGAGGAUUGCCUCGGAAUGCUCGGCAUGAGAACUCCAGAAGUACAGGAAAUACUGGCGAUAUCAGAACAUCCUUGCAAGAGGAACGAACUUAUACAUAAACAAAUAACUCAGCCUUCUGCAGAGGAGGGUUUUCCUCGGAAGAAUGAAAAAGCCCAGAGUAACACGGCACUGGUGACCAGAUGCGAUAAGGACUUGCUCUUGCUCUGGUAAGCUACUUUCCCCAUCACAGAAUCACAUAAGGAUGCCACUACCAGAAACUCCGCCUGUGCUUGGCCCAUUCACUCCUCCCUUCCCCAAGACACUGUGGAGAAAGGACCCAGAAGUAUGAGAUGCACUGCAGCCCCUUCCUGAGGAACAAGCCCCUGGGCCCAUAACGCGUAGGCUGGUGUGAAUGGUUACUUGCUUCCUUUCUGAAGGAGAGGUUCACCAAAUGUGAAACUCAAUGGUAAGAUGGGCUUUUAGAGCACACUGUCUUCUGACCUUCACUGUUUCCAGUAAAAAGUAUAUAUAAUGUUUUUCUUCCCUAUUUUUAAAUUGAAUACAGUAUGAGUAAAUAUACACUU